GUCCUAACAAAAUGCAUGAUUUCGGCUCAUGUAACAACAAUUAUAACAUUUGUUUUAGGACU
rnacentral:tRNA from 1 species